rnacentral:rRNA from 1 species
CAGCAGCCGCGGUAAUACGGAGGGUGCAAGCGUUGUCCGGAUUUAUUGGGUUUAAAGGGUGCGUAGGCGGCUAUUUAAGUUAGCGGUGAAAGACUCCGGCUCAACCGGAGCAGUGCCAUUGAUACUGGAUAGCUUGAGUGUUGGAGGGGUACAUGGAAUUGAUGGUGUAGCGGUGAAAUGCGCAGAGAUAUGGAGGAACACCAGUGGCGAAGGCGACUCUCUGGUCUGUAACUGACGCUGAGGAGCGAAAGCCAGGGGAGCGAACGGGAUUAGAUACCCCCGUAGUCCCUGUCUCUUAUAA